UCUGUGUAUGUGUUGUGUUGUGUGUAUGAUGUGUGUGUGUGGUUUAUGUGUGGUAUGGUGUGUGCGAGGGUGUGUGUGUGGUGUGUAUAUGGUGUGUGUGUGCCUCUGUGUGUGUGGUAUAUUGUGCAUGGGGGUGGUGGUGUAUGUGUGGUAUGUGUGUUGUAUGUGUGCUGUGUAUGUGGUAUAUGUGGUGUGUGUGUAUGUGUGUGUGUGGUGUAUAUGUGCUGUGUGUGUGGUAUGUGUGGUGUGUGUGUAUGUGUGUGUAUGUGGUGUGUGUGUGUAUGUGUGUAUGGGGUGUUAUGUAGGGUGUGUAUGUGGUGUGUGUGUGUAUGUGUGUAUGUGGUGUGUGUGU
rnacentral:lncRNA from 1 species